rnacentral:misc_RNA from 1 species
UACGGAGGGUGCAAGCGUUAAUCGGAAUUACUGGGCGUAAAGCGUGCGCAGGCGGUUAGGCAAGACAGAGGUGAAAUCCCCGGGCUCAACCUGGGAACUGCCUUUGUGACUGCAUAGCUAGAGUACGGCAGAGGGGGAUGGAAUUCCACGUGUAGCAGUGAAAUGCGUAGAUAUGUGGAGGAACACCGAUGGCGAAGGCAAUCCCCUGGGCCUGUACUGACGCUAAUGCACGAAAGCGUGGGGAGCAAACAGG